UACGGGGGGAGCAAGCGUUGUUCGGAUUUACUGGGCGUAAAGGGCGCGUAGGCGGUCGUGACAAGUCACUUGUGAAAUCUCCGGGCUUAACUCGGAACGGUCAAGUGAUACUGUCGGACUAGAGUACAGAAGGGGCAACUGGAAUUCUCGGUGUAGCGGUGAAAUGCGUAGAUAUGCGGAGGAACACCGAUGGCGAAGGCCAAUCCCCUGGACCUGUACUGACG
rnacentral:rRNA from 1 species